UCCAGACUCCUACGGGAGGCAGCAGUGGGGAAUAUUGCACAAUGGGGGGAACCCUGAUGCAGCAACGCCGCGUGAGUGAAGAAGUACCUCGGUAUGUAAAGCUCUAUCAGCAGGGAAGAAAAUGACGGUACCUGACUAAGAAGCACCGGCUAAAUACGUGCCAGCAGCCGCGGUAAUACGUAUGGUGCAAGCGUUAUCCGGAUUUACUGGGUGUAAAGGGAGCGCAGGCGGCGCGGCAAGUCAGAUGUGAAAGCCCGGGGCCCAACCCCGGGACUGCUUUGGAAACUGUGUAACUGGAGUACAGGAGGGGCAGGCGGAAUUCCUGGUGUAGCGGUGAAAUGCGUAGAUAUCAGGAGGAACACCGGCGGCGAAGGCGGCCUGCUGGACUGAAACUGACGUUGAGGCUCGAAAGCGUGGGGAGCAAACAGGAUUAGAUACCCGUGUACC
rnacentral:rRNA from 1 species